AUUGAACGCUGGCGGCAGGCCUAACACAUGCAAGUCGAGCGCGUGGCGGACGGGUGAGUAAUGUGUGGGAAACUGCCCGAUGGAGGGGGAUAACUACUGGAAACGGUAGCUAAUACCGCAUACCCUAGGAUGUGCCCAGAUGGGAUUAUCUCGUAGUGGGGGUAACGGCUCACCUAGGCGACGCUCCCUAGCUGGUCUGAGAGGAUGACCAGCCAAACUGGAAAUUGGACGCGGUCCAGACUCCUACGGGAGGCAGCAGUGGGGAAUAUUGCACAAUGGGAGCAAGCCUGAUGCAGCCAUGCCGCGUGUAUGAAGAAGGCCUUCGGGUUGUAAAGUACUUUCAGCGAGGAGGCUUUACUCGCAGAAGAAGCACCGGCUAACUCCGUGCCAGCAGCCGCGGGAAUAC
rnacentral:rRNA from 1 species